rnacentral:rRNA from 1 species
UACGUAGGGACCAAGCGUUGUUCGGAUUUACUGGGCGUAAAGGGCGCGUAGGCGGCGUGGUAAGUCAAUUGUGAAAUCUCCGAGCUUAACUCGGAACGGUCAAUUGAUACUGCUGUGCUAGAGUGCAGAAAGGGCAAUCGGAAUUCUUGGUGUAGCGGUGAAAUGCGUAGAUAUCAAGCAGAACACCUGCGGCGAAGGCGGCCUUCUGGACGAUGACUGACGCUGAGACGCGAAAGCGUGGGGAGCAAACAGG